AUUUCAUAUGAAUCUGAUGGUGCUGGCCGGAAUCGUUUGGUUCCGCCAGCUUAAUAGGGAAGUCCGGUGAAAAUCCGGCGCGGUCCCGCCACUGUAAACGAGGAGUGCCUAGUGCAUAAAAACCACUGUUUUUCGCGAGACGAAAAAUGGGAAGGGAACUAGGCAUGGUGAUUCGUAAGCCAGGAGACCUGCCAUGAGAUCAUUUGCAAU
rnacentral:ncRNA from 1 species